AUCCAGACUCCUACGGGAGGCAGCAGUGGGGAAUAUUGCACAAUGGGGGAAACCCUGAUGCAGCGACGCCGCGUGAGCGAUGAAGUAUUUCGGUAUGUAAAGCUCUAUCAGCAGGGAAGAAGAUGACGGUACCUGACUAAGAAGCCCCGGCUAACUACGUGCCAGCAGCCGCGGUAAUACGUAGGGGGCAAGCGUUAUCCGGAUUUACUGGGUGUAAAGGGAGCGUAGACGGCGAUGCAAGCCAGAUGUGAAAGCCCGGGGCUCAACCCCGGGACUGCAUUUGGAACUGUGUGGCUGGAGUGUCGGAGAGGCAGGCGGAAUUCCUAGUGUAGCGGUGAAAUGCGUAGAUAUUAGGAGGAACACCAGUGGCGAAGGCGGCCUGCUGGACGAUGACUGACGUUGGGGCUCGAAAGCGUGGGGAGCAAACAGGAUUAGAUACCCUCGUAAA
rnacentral:rRNA from 1 species